rnacentral:lncRNA from 1 species
AGAUCAAGGGGAUUGGAGAGGAGCUUCAUGCUUCGGGUCGGGGAAGAAAAGACGAAGAAUUGGAUUUUUCUUCUUCAUAGAGUUUUGGGAAGACUGAGGCAAUCGUUGCUGAAGUCAGUGUUGUAAUGGUGAAUCGAGAUUUUUUUAAUGAAGUGGAUUUGAUUACUCUUGACUGUUUUGUGAAAUCGAGUUACGUCUAUGAUUGAAGGAUUAAAAGGGUGUCU